GAAACCCGGUGAUCUAGCCAUGGGCAGGUUGAAGGUUGGGUAACACUAACUGGAGGACCGAACCGACUAAUGUUGAAAAAUUAGCGGAUGACCUGUGGCUGGGGGUGAAAGGCCAAUCAAACCGGGAGAUAGCUGGUUCUCCCCGAAAGCUAUUUAGGUAGCGCCUCGUGAAUUCAUCUCCGGGGGUAGAGCACUGUUUCGGCCAGGGGGCCAUCCCGGCUUACCAAUCCGAUGCAAACUGCGAAUACCGGAGAAUGUUAUCACGGGAGACACACGGCGGGUGCUAACGUCCGUCGUGAAGAGGGAAACAACCCAGACCGCCAGCUAAGGUCCCAAAGUCAUGGUUAAGUGGGAAACGAUGUGGGAAGGCCCAGACAGCCAGGAUGUUGGCUUAGAAGCAGCCAUCAUUUAAAGAAAGCGUAAUAGCUCACUGGUCGAGUCGGCCUGCGCGGAAGAUGUAACGGGGCUAAACCAUGCACCGAAGCUGCGGCAGCGACACUGAUGUGUUGUUGGGUAGGGGAGCGUUCUGUAAGCCGUUGAAGGUGUGUCGUGAGGCAUGCUGGAGGUAUCAGAAGUGCGAAUGCUGACAUAAGUAACGAUAAAGCGGGUGAAAAGCCCGCUCGCCGGAAGACCAAGGGUUCCUGUCCAACGUUAAUCGGGGCAGGGUGAGUCGACCCCUAAGGCGAGGCCGAAAGGCGUAGUCGAUGGGAAACGGGUUAAUAUUCCCGUACUUGGUGUUACUGCGAAGGGGGGACGGAGAAGGCUAUGUUGGCCGGGCGACGGUUGUCCCGGUUUAAGCGUGUAGGUGUGUGUUCCAGGUAAAUCCGGUUCACUUUAACACUGAGGCGUGAUGACGAGGCACUACGGUGCUGAAGCAACAAAUGCCCUGCUUCCAGGAAAAGCCUCUAAGCCUCAGGUAACAUCAAAUCGUACCCCAAACCGACACAGGUGGUCAGGUAGAGAAUACCAAGGCGCUUGAGAGAACUCGGGUGAAGGAACUAGGCAAAAUGGUGCCGUAACUUCGGGAGAAGGCACGCUGACACGUAGGUGAAGUGGUUUACCCAUGGAGCUGAAGUCAGUCGAAGAUACCAGCUGGCUGCAACUGUUUAUUAAAAACACAGCACUGUGCAAACACGAAAGUGGACGUAUACGGUGUGACGCCUGCCCGGUGCCGGAAGGUUAAUUGAUGGGGUCAGCGCAAGCGAAGCUCCUGAUCGAAGCCCCGGUAAACGGCGGCCGUAACUAUAACGGUCCUAAGGUAGCGAAAUUCCUUGUCGGGUAAGUUCCGACCUGCACGAAUGGCGUAAUGAUGGCCAGGCUGUCUCCACCCGGGACUCAGUGAAAUUGAACUCGCUGUGAAGAUGCAGUGUACCCGCGGCAAGACGGAAAGACCCCGUGAACCUUUACUAUAGCUUGACACUGAACACUGGUCCUUGAUGUGCAGGAUAGGUGGGAGGCUUUGAAGUGUGGACGCCAGUCUGCAUGGAGCCGACCUUGAAAUACCACCCUUUAAUGGCUGGUGUUCUAACGUGGGCCCGUGAACCGGGUUGCGGACAGUGUCUGGUGGGUAGUUUGACUGGGGCGGUCUCCUCCUAAAGAGUAACGGAGGAGCACGAAGGUUGGCUAAUCCUGGUCGGACAUCAGGAGGUUAGUGCAAUGGCAUAAGCCAGCUUGACUGCGAGCGUGACGGCGCGAGCAGGUGCGAAAGCAGGUCAUAGUGAUCCGGUGGUUCUGAAUGGAAGGGCCAUCGCUCAACGGAUAAAAGGUACUCCGGGGAUAACAGGCUGAUACCGCCCAAGAGUUCAUAUCGACGGCGGUGUUUGGCACCUCGAUGUCGGCUCAUCACAUCCUGGGGCUGAAGUAGGUCCCAAGGGUAUGGCUGUUCGCCAUUUAAAGUGGUACGCGAGCUGGGUUUAGAACGUCGUGAGACAGUUCGGUCCCUAUCUGCCGUGGGCGCUGGAAGAUUGAGGGGGGCUGCUCCUAGUACGAGAGGACCGGAGUGGACGCAUCACUGGUGUUCGGGUUGUCAUGCCAAUGGCACUGCCCGGUAGCUACAUGCGGAAGAGAUAAGUGCUGAAAGCAUCUAAGCACGAAACUUGCCCCGAGAUGAAUCUUCCCUGAGCCUUUAAGGCUCCUGAAGGAACGUUGAAGACGACGACGUUGAUAGGCCGGGUGUGUAAGCGCAGCGAUGCGUUGAGCUAACCGGUACUAAUGAACCGUGAGGCUUAACC
rnacentral:rRNA from 1 species